rnacentral:rRNA from 1 species
CGAACGGACGAGAAGCUUGCUUCUCUGAUGUUAGCGGCGGACGGGUGAGUAACACGUGGAUAACCUACCUAUAAGACUGGGAUAACUUCGGGAAACCGGAGCUAAUACCGGAUAAUAUUUUGAACCGCAUGGUUCAAAAGUGAAAGACGGUCUUGCUGUCACUUAUAGAUGGAUCCGCGCUGCAUUAGCUAGUUGGUAAGGUAACGGCUUACCAAGGCAACGAUGCAUAGCCGACCUGAGAGGGUGAUCGGCCACACUGGAACUGAGACACGGUCCAGACUCCUACGGGAGGCAGCAGUAGGGAAUCUUCCGCAAUGGGCGAAAGCCUGACGGAGCAACGCCGCGUGAGUGAUGAAGGUCUUCGGAUCGUAAAACUCUGUUAUUAGGGAAGAACAUAUGUGUAAGUAACUGUGCACAUCUUGACGGUACCUAAUCAGAAAGCCACGGCUAACUACGUGCCAGCAGCCGCGGUAAUACGUAGGUGGCAAGCGUUAUCCGGAAUUAUUGGGCGUAAAGCGCGCGUAGGCGGUUUUUUAAGUCUGAUGUGAAAGCCCACGGCUCAACCGUGGAGGGUCAUUGGAAACUGGAAAACUUGAGUGCAGAAGAGGAAAGUGGAAUUCCAUGUGUAGCGGUGAAAUGCGCAGAGAUAUGGAGGAACACCAGUGGCGAAGGCGACUUUCUGGUCUGUAACUGACGCUGAUGUGCGAAAGCGUGGGGAUCAAACAGGAUUAGAUACCCUGGUAGUCCACGCCGUAAACGAUGAGUGCUAAGUGUUAGGGGGUUUCCGCCCCUUAGUGCUGCAGCUAACGCAUUAAGCACUCCGCCUGGGGAGUACGACCGCAAGGUUGAAACUCAAAGGAAUUGACGGGGACCCGCACAAGCGGUGGAGCAUGUGGUUUAAUUCGAAGCAACGCGAAGAACCUUACCAAAUCUUGACAUCCUU